GGUUGCGAUCAUACCAGCACUAAUGCACCGGAUCCCAUCAGAACUCCGCAGUUAAGCGUGCUUGGGCGAGAGUAGUACUAGGAUGGGUGACCCCCUGGGAAGUCCUCGUGUUGCACCCC
rnacentral:rRNA from 1 species